GCGGGCGCGGUCCCGAGACCCGCUCUCACAGUGGGGCCCGGAGUUGGGCUAAGAUUCUCAAACCGGUGCAGGCAAGGUGACUUUGCUUUUAAAUGCCUUUUGACUGCCUGGGAAACUCAAUGGGAAGCGGCGUUAUGGGAUAGUGUGUAGAAAGGCAUCUUGAGAAUACUGGAAAGACCUCUUCUUGGAAGCGAGUGCCAGCCUGUACGAGAUCUCACCUUGGACAAAAAGUAGACUAAUAUACUUCUGAAGGCAAAAGAAGCCUAGCAAACUGGCACUCGGAAGUAAGGUGGCUUGCUUGUGAUGCCUCAGGGCCUCGGUGCCACGCCGCCGGUUGAACCGAAAGUGGUCAAGUGUGUGCUCUUCCUUCCCGCUGUGCUGCUUCCCACAGAAAUGCCACUGGUUUAGCAUCUGCUUAUUGCGCAUCCACCCACACAGCGCUUUGGUCUGCACGCGCUUUUUGGAUAAAGGGAACGGAAAGCGCAGUGGAUCGGCACCCAGACAUCCCUUAUUUUCGCUGGGUGCAGAAGCUGUCGUCUCCUCCUCGUUGCGGGUUCGUGGCGCGCUCAGAAACUCGUCUCGGCUUCCUCGGCAGGCACGCGAGCUCCCCGGCCCGCCCGCCUGCGCUCCGCGGCGUCUUUAACGCGGCUCAGCGAGCACGGACCCGCGGGAAGCGCAGGCACAGAGGCUCAGGCCUGGAGCCCGCCCGCGACGGGCUCAAGUGCAGACUCGGGCACACCCUUCAAGCUCUGGCAGAAGAGCGCGGGAAGACGCCAGUUUCAGGAAAGGCUGCUGCGCGCGGUGCCGCGCCCCGAGAGCGCUCCAGGGCGGGGUGCGCCACGCGCCGGGCCCGGCCGCGCGGCCGUCGGGGCCCUGGGAACAGCGGGGCAAACGCGCGCGCACCGCUUGAGUCGCUCGGCAGACGCUUAGUGAGCGGCGCACGUAAGCCCGACCUUCUGUUUUCACACCUGAAGCCCAUCGUCCCACCCUCGCUGCUUUUUCCCGCCCGAGUUCCGGAACCCCCGCACCGGAACAGCGAGCCGCGGUCGGGCCGGCGCCGGGGGGGCGCUCCGAGGCCGACCCCGCCCACCGGAAGUCCUUGCGAGGGCGGGGCGUAGGCCUGCGCAAGCGUCUCGGCCGCGGAGGCGUGCGCGCGCGCGCGCGCGCCUGGGGGUGGGCGGGGCUAAGGAGAGCGGCGGCCCCGCCCCCCGGCCGCGCCGCCCCGCCCCGGGCGCUGGAGCCGCGGCAGCCUGGCGCCCGCGAGUGGGACCCGAAGGGCCUUUUGGUGCUGCCGACCGACCCCACCGCGGGGUCGCGGCGCGCGGGCGCCGGGCACGGUCUCUGGCCCGGGACGCGGUUUGGGGGCCAGCACGCGUGUUUGCGCCCGCACGUCUCCCUCCCAUCCUCUCGGGGUGCGUGGCUCCCUGCGAGGCGCGGCCUCGGGACGCGGCGCGGGGGCGCCUUGGGGCGAGGCCCCCGGGGGGCGAGCGGCCUUGCUGGGCUCCAGGCCCGCCCUCCCGAUGCCCGCGGCGCAGCCGGCCCGCGCAGGCCCCGCGCGUCCGAUGAAGAACGCCCGCCGCCUUCUAGGGAGCUCCGGAGGUUUGGUGUCGCCUGGCUCUGCACUCGGGAUUCGCCGCUGCGUGGGAGGACCCUGGGUUGAGGGUUUCCUUUACCACGAGACAGAAACUUUUCCCUCUGUUCCAUGAAGAAAACUGAAACUGAAAGAAGGAAGGAAAGCAAACACGUAUUUACACUCGACCUUGAACAACACUGUGGACCCACUGAUACAUGGAUUUUUUUCAAUAAAUACUACAGUACGACGUGAUCUGUGGCUGGUUGAAUUCACGGAUGCAGAACCUUGGUUAUGAAGGGCCAACCGUAAAGUUAUAACAUUUUGCAACUGUGUUGGGGUCAGCGCCCUUAACACCCACAUUGCUCAAGGGUCAACUGUAUAGCUUUAAUUAUGUAUGGCCUUCUUAUUUAUCACUUCUGGUUCUAUUUAUUUCUUGUUUUUGUGGAUCCAAGUUACCAUCUGGAGUAAGUUCUUUAGCUCAAUACAGCCUUCUACUACCCACCUUCUUUGUACUGCUCUUAGCCAAUAUGUUACAUUUCUACUCUGUAGGUUAUAGACCCAACAAUGCAUUUUAUUAUUAUUUAUAUAAAUAAGAUGUAUUGUUUUAUACAAUUGCUUUUUUUCACGUGUGCAUUUUUAAAACAACUUUAUUGAGGUAUAAUUUGCAUAUCAUAAAAUCACCCAUUUUAAGUGCACACUCCAGUGAUUCUUAGCAAAUUUACAUAAUUGGGAACCAACACCAUCAUCCAGUUUCAGAGCAUUUUCAUCUCCCCAGUGAUGUUUCCUUAGACCCACCAGCAGUCACUCACCGUUCCCACCCCUGCUCCCAGGCAACCACUAUAUACUUUCUUUCUCUCUAGAUUUGUGUUUUGUUGGCAAUCAUGGUAUUUUUCUCUUUUAAGUUUAUUUUCAGGACACACACAACUUUGUACAACUACUAACUCUAUCUAGCCCUAAAUAUUUUCAUCACUCCAGAAUAAAACCUAUACCCAAUAAGCUGUUUGUCCACAUUUCCCUAUCCCCCCAGCGCCUGGCAACCACCUAUCAGUAUCCUGUCUCUACGGAUUCACCUAUUUUGAAUAUUUUAUCUAAAUGGGAUAAUCAUUAUGUAAGCAUUCAUGUCAGUCUUCUUUUACUUGUUUCAGGGGUUGAUUCACAUUGUAGUAAGUAUCAGUACUUCAUUCCUUUUUUAUGGAGGGAUAAUAUUCCAUUGUAUGUAUAUAUACAACUGUCUUAAAUCUCUUAAGGGAAGAAAGAAAAAUGCAUUUUAUGCUGGCUUUUGUAUUUACCUAAUUACAAAAGGUGCUGUUUGUUUUUAUGUUUUGAUUCAAAUUACUGUCUGAGGUCACUUUCUUUUAGCCUAAAGAACUUCCCUUAGUGUUUCUUGUAGGGUGGGUCUGCUAGCAGCAAAUUCUCAGUCCUUGUUUACCUGGAAGUAGAUCUCCGCAAUGCCAGUUAAAUGUCUAAUUGUAGACGUUAAGUAGGCAGUGGAUAGACAAGUCUGGAGUUCAGAGGUGAGAGGAGAGCUGGAGACAGACGUUUUGGAGACAUGGUGUGUGUGUGCAAUUUAAGAAUGAGAUUCACUGAGCUCGCUUAGGCUCUGGGCGGGAGGGUAGAUAGAGAAGGGAAGAGUGUAGGCAAGGUUUAAAGGCCAUGCUUAUUUUAGGGUGAUUGAUUGACAAUAAGCAUUAUCACUUAUGUGCCAUCAGAGAAAAACCAUUAAGUCCACAUAAAGAGUUAGGAGACACUUAACAAUUUCCUUAACUGCUCUGCAGCUAAAUAAUAGCGUGUGACCUUGAGUGAGCUGUAUCAUCUCAGUUUCCUCAACUAAAACGAAGGAGUGGAGCUGGGUGACAACGAAGGAGUGGAGCUGGGUGACGACCAAGGCCUCUUUGUGCCUUCCAACCCCUACCUGUGAUUCUUUAAAAUCGGAUAACUACACAUUUUUGCUUUCUCUGAUUCCGGUACUUAUAUAAAUUCCUGUACUCGGCUCUGGCAAGAGUCUGGUGAAACGAGCUUGCUUAUUUGUCCAUUGCUGGUAGGGCUGAAUUUGGUAGUGUGCUUCAAGAGCUUCACAGAUGUCAAUGCCAUUUGACCCAGUAAUUCCUCUUUCAAGAAUCUCCCUCAGCUUUACAUUUUGCUACAGAGUUCUGUACCAGAUAUACUCCAGAGUUUUCAGUAUUCACUGUAGAUCUUUGCAUGACCAAUCAAACUAGACUUUUGAUGAAUAUGUCAUUUCUCAGUGACUUUAGAAUCUUUUUGAACUUUAGGGAAAGAUGAUUUAAUUUUUCAGGUAAAAUUACCUUCUAGGUAAGAUCUGCCUAGAAGUCAAAGCAUUUUGUAUUAAAAACAAAAACUUUUUUGUUUAAAUUGUAGUUGCAAACAGCGAUUUGUGAAGUAGAUCUCUGCAUGCUAUGUUCUUCAGUAGGCGAAUGGAUAAACAAACUGUGGGGAAGACUUUGAAGCUCAAGUUGCAAGCUUGGGAGAAAUACGUGCCUUAGGGACGUGUGAGUACAAGCUUUGCCAGGUCACCAGCAGCACAGCGUAACCUCAGGGACCGUGUUUUAAUUUCCUGUUGGAGGACAGGUGUCAUUCAGUUUUGAACCAGAAAUGAAAACCAACUCAGACAAAAACAUCAAGUUUUAGGAUGCAGACUAGUCAGAAAACAAAGAAAAUCUGGAAAUGAUGCCUUUUCUGUUACCAAUGUACUGAGUGCUCCCAGACCCAACUUCUGUGUCAGAUCCUAACCCUGGGGGGGUCACAGUGACAGUCCUCGUGGGCCCGUGAAGCAAGCACAUUGGAGAAGCUGGACAGUUUCUGCUAACGGGCCCUUCUCUCCUGUGGCUAAUGUCCCCUGAGCUAAAAUCAGGUAGGAAAGAGAGAAAGACCCAGGCUGCGCUCUUUAUAGCUGUUAGUUUAUGCUGAAUUUCUACUAUACAAUCUCAGAACCUUGGGAGAAUUCAGUGUCCAAAGUAGUUUUGAAAUAGAGAACUGAUAAAAGUCAGAAAAGAAGGAAGAAAUGACAGAGUUCAUCUCUUAAAAUGUCGUGAUGAAAGAAGCCUUCUAUGCAGCCUGCUAUUUUAUUUAUUUUUUUAUAAAUUUAUUUAUUUAUUUACUUAUUUUAUUGGCUGUGUUGGGUCUUCGUUGCUGCACAUGGGCUUUCUCUAGUUGCGGCGAGUGGGGGCUACUCUUCUUAUGGUGCACGGGCUUCUCAUUGAGGUGGCCUCUCUUGUUGCAGAGCACGGGCUCCAGGCACGGGGGCUUCAGUAGUUGCGGCACAUGGGCUCAAUAGUUGUGGCUCAUGGGCUCUAGAGCGCAGGCUCAAUAGUUGUGGCGCACGGGCUUAGUUGCUCCGCGGCAUGUGGUAUCCUCCUGGGGCAGGGAUCGAACCCGUGUCCCCUGCAUUGGCAGGCAGAUUCUUACCCACUGCGCCACCUAGGAAGUCCUAGCCUGCUAUUUUAGACCAAAGUUGUGCUAAAUUACGUUGUCAGUGUCAAUAGAGACGUUUUGGAUUUACGUGUUUCUGUUGUCACUGAGAUGUGAUUAUGUAGAACUUAAAGGGAGACAAUUUUUCACAUGCUAGGAAAAGUAAUCGUCAGUGCUUGAUAGGGAAAAAGCUUUCUUAACACAAAAUAAUUGGGGAAACAUAAGAAUCAGUUAUCAAGGAAAGGAGUCGGUCACCACAGUGUUUUUUUAAAUUGUCCAGUGUUUGGCUUUCUGUGAAGCUGAACAUGUAAGAAAUCUCAGGAGACUUCUCAUUAGGAUAACUUAAGUCUUUGAACAGUAAUUGUAUUUUGUAUUUAUUUUUAAUUUUAUUUUUAAAAAUUUAUUUAUUUAUGUAUGUAUUGGCUGUGUUGGGUCUUUGUUGCCGUGUGCAGGCUUUCUCUAGUUGAGGCGAGCGGGGGCCACUCUUCGUUGGGGUGCACCGGCUUCUCAUUGUGGUGGCUUCUCUUAUUGUGGAGCACGGGCUCUAGGUGUUCAGGCUUCAGUAAUUGUGGCUCGUGGGGCUUAGUUGCUCCGCGGCACAUGGGAUCUUCCCGGACCAGGGAUCAAACCCGUGUCCCCUGCAUUGGCAGGCAGAUUCUUAACCACUGCGCCACCAGGGGAGUAAUUUUACUGGAAAGUUUAGAGCACUUUUUUUGUGUUUGCUCUUCUUAUUCACGCAUCUUAAAUGAAACAGCGAGUUGUGUUUUGGAUGUGAGCAGCCGCGGCACCUGUACUUCUUGGUGCAGCUGGUUACGGUUAGCCCUUUGUAGCGUGCACAAUUUCAGGCGGUUUGAUAUAAUUCAGUACGAUCGAAGAGUGUGGGAAUGGGAAACGAUUGUGUAGUAUAUGCAUUAUAUUGUCUCCUUUUCAUGUUUGCUUGAAUAUAUGUCCGUAAUUUCGAAGAGUUAAGAGCUUUUCUGCACAGCUUGACAAGCCUGGAGUCUGUUUGCCUUGUGCGCACCGUGGUGGGGAAUACAGUCUGGUGCCACUGCCUUGAUGGGUGCUAAGGUGCCAGCAGUUUUACCACCUUUGAUUUUGCACCGUCAGUACAACAACAGCAUCUCAGUGUUGUUAGGAAAGUAGUUUUGACGCUGCAGACCCCAUGAAAGGCUUCUGAGGACCACACUUGGAGAACCGCGACGGUGGUUAGAAGAGUUACUCAGACAGAAGAGGGAGGGUUACACGUGCGUGGCAGACACUGCCGGGGAGGGUCCCAGCUCGUGGGGACAGCAGGGCUCAUCGCUGGUGUCUGAGUCGCCACGGGAAACACAACAUGGUCUAGCACUGGGUGGAACAACGCUUUUACUCUCAUGGAGAAGAGACGCAGCAGGAUCAGCUCCAAGAAACAGUGUGUCAGUCUCCCACGGCCAGCAGGUCCCCCCCACCAGCCGAUGCGGGACAGACGGCCUGCACACACUCGGCCUGUGCUGCAGCAGAGGCCCCGGCCCGGCCCGGCCCCGGGAGUCUGAAAUCCUGAAAGCUGCGGGCGAGUUGGGGGCCGUGAGGACGCCCACCCGCGCAGAGCAGAAGAGCCCGCGGCGCGCCCCGAACAGGGAAGUCCGUUCCCACGCGAGGCCACAAAGGCCCAGGCUGUGUGGGCUCUUCCCCUCGGUGAGGAGGUCUCCGGGGCCACGGCUGUGCCUGUGUGCGGCCCAGCGGGGUCGAAGGACCGUGGGCAGGAGACUGCCUUCCCAGCAAUUUUAUGUGACCUGUCCCACGACCAACUCACCCGCUACUUCUCUUUAACCUCAUCUAGCUGCUUUCCUUCUUCUGGCACGUUAUUUUACCUUACUGUAUUCUGUAAUGUUUUCUCAUUGAAAAUGAUUAUAAAAUUUAACCACAUAGAUGUUUGCUUUUAAAAAUUAAUAGUGGAGGGAAUUAGGCAUCCUUUAAACAUUAUAACCAAAUAGUUGUGAAUCCAAACUAGUAAAAAGUACUGGAUAGCUACCUAUCACAGGUGUCCUCAGGACCGAAGAAAGGAUGAAGUCAGAGGUUCCAGGACCCGUGCCGUUUGCACGCCUGGGGAGGCAAGCCGUCAGGUUCCGUCAUCGCCUCCUCCUCUUACUUUCUGCCUACUUAGAGCCGUUUGGCGCUUUCACAAACUAUCUGGAGUACAUAACGCUGGGUCCUGACUACUGUGGGUGCUUAUUUAAACUGGAGGCGGACUUCUUGUCCAUAGAAUUAUCAAUAGAGAAUGUAGGAGGCAGAGAGAUGGGCUACAGAAUCAGAUUAUUUCUCCACUCUUCCUCCCUGGGGCGUAUUCCUGUGUUUUUCUCCUUCUUGAAAGAGAUAAUGAAUGGCUUCUGGACUCGCCCUUUCCACUCCCGUGGAGGGACGUUCUCGCCUCCCUUGGAGGGACAGUCUCGCCUCCCUUGAGGGCAGCUUCGGCGUUCCUGCUAGGAGGAAGGCAUCCGUUUCCUGCGCUUGGAGGGCACUGCCUCAGGAUUUAAGUCACACCUCUGCAGGACGCGGGUGUUGAGCGUUUCAUUCUUCUUUGAGAUCUCUGUAAGAUGUUGCUCGGAUGGACUAGCCUGCUGUUCAUAUGUUCAUGUAACAGCUCCGAUGACUAAGUGUAAAUUUAGGGGGUAUGACGCUCUCCAGCCUUCCUCCUGUUUGGGUCUUUGGGGCGCUUCCUCUUUACCCAUCCCCCCCACCAUGGCUUAGUCUUGAGUCUCUUUUCUUCUCACUUUACCGCCUCUUUAAGUGAUCUCAUCUGUUUCCAUUAUUUGUCAUUUAAGAACU